ACUCAUUUGACAUUGUGCCUAACAGGAGUUUUGUGAUGGUUGUGUUUUCUGCACCUCUUUGUGGAAAGAUACACUCUUCGCAGACAGAGACAUAUUCCACAGCAUUUUGUUCUUUGCACACAGAAGGUGUCAUUAAAUAAUGGUGGGAUGAAUUGUCAUUCCAUUUUAAUUCAGUUCCUUGACCUUAUCACUGAGAUAAUCAUCAA